rnacentral:rRNA from 1 species
UAGGGAAUCUUCCGCAAUGGACGCAAGUCUGACGGAGCAACGCCGCGUGAGUGAAGAAGGAUUUCGGUUCGUAAAACUCUGUUGUUAGAGAAGAACAGCGCAUAGAGUAACUGUUAUGCGUGUGACGGUAUCUAACCAGAAAGCCACGGCUAACUACGUGCCAGCAGCCGCGGUAAUACGUAGGUGGCAAGCGUUGUCCGGAUUUAUUGGGUGGAAAGCGAGCGCAGGCGGUCAAUUAAGUCUGAUGUGAAAGCCCCCGGCUCAACCGGGGAGGGUCAUUGGAAACUGGAUGACUUGAGUGCAGAAGAGGAGAAUGGAAUUCCAUGUGUAGCUGUGAAAUGGGUAGAUGUAGGGAGAAACACCAGUGGCGAAGGCGAAUCUCUGGUCUGUAACUGACGCUGAGGCUCGAAAGCGUGGGUAGCAAACAGG